rnacentral:rRNA from 1 species
GACGAACGCUGGCGGCGUGCUUAACACAUGCAAGUCGAACGGAAAGGCCCUGCUUUUGUGGGGUGCUAGAGUGGCGAACGGGUGAGUAACACGUGAGUAACCUGCCCUUGACUGUGGGAUAACUUCAGGAAACUGGGGCUAAUACAGGCUAGGAGCUCCUGCUGCCUGGUGGGGGUUGGACAGUUUCGGCGGGUGGGGAUGGACUCGCGGCUUAUCAGCUUGUUGGUGGGGUAGUGGCUUACCAAGGCUUUGACGGGUAGUCGGCCUGAGAGGGUGACCGGCCACAUUGGGACUGAGAUACGGCCCAGACGCCUACGGGGGGCAGCAGUGGGGAAUAUUGCACAAUGGGCGGGAGCCUGAGGCAGCGGCGCCGCGUGCGGGAUGACGGCCUUCGAGUUGUGAACCGCUUUCGCCUGUGACGGAGCGUGAGUGACGGUAAUGGGUGAAGAAGCACCGGCUAACUACGUG